rnacentral:rRNA from 1 species
GUACGGGGGAGCAAGCGUUGUUCGGAUUUACUGGGCGUAAAGGGCGCGUAGGCGGCGUGACAAGUCACUUGUGAAAUCUCCGGGCUUAACUCGGAACGGUCAAGUGGAUACUGUCGUGCUAGAGUACAGAAGGGGCAACUGGAAUUCUCGGUGGUAGCGGUGAAAUGCGUAGAUAUCGAGAGGAACACCAAUGGCGAAGGCAGGUCUCAUCGGGCUGACACUGACGCUCAUGCACGAAGCGUGGGAGCAACAGG